rnacentral:rRNA from 1 species
UAACUUAGUGGCGGACGGGUGAGUAACGCGUGGGUAACCUGCCUUACACAGGGGGAUAACACUUAGAAAUAGGUGCUAAUACCGCAUAAGCGCACAGUCCCGCAUGGGACAGAGUGAAAAACAUUAGUGGUGUAAGAUGGACCCGCGUCUGAUUAGCUGGUUGGCGGGGUAACGGCCCACCAAGGCGACGAUCAGUAGCCGGCCUGAGAGGGUGGACGGCCACAUUGGGACUGAGACACGGCCCAAACUCCUACGGGAGGCAGCAG